AUUGAACGCUGGCGGCAGGCUUAACACAUGCAAGUCGAGCGGAGAUGAGGUGCUUGCACCUUAUCUUAGCGGCGGACGGGUGAGUAAUGCUUAGGAAUCUGCCUAUUAGUGGGGGACAACAUUCCGAAAGGAAUGCUAAUACCGCAUACGCCCUACGGGGGAAGGCAGGGGAUCUUCGGACCUUGCGCUAAUAGAUGAGCCUAAGUCGGAUUAGCUAGUUGGUGGGGUAAAGGCCUACCAAGGCGACGAUCUGUAGCGGGUCUGAGAGGAUGAUCCGCCACACUGGGACUGAGACACGGCCCAGACUCCUACGGGAGGCAACAGUGGGGAAUAUUGGACAAUGGGCGGAAGCCUGAUCCAGCCAUGCCGCGUGUGUGAAGAAGGCCUUUUGGUUGUAAAGCACUUUAAGCGAGGAGGAGGCUACCUGGAUUAAUACUCUAGGAUAGUGGACGUUACUCGCAGAAUAAGCACCGGCUAACUCUGUGCCAGCCGCCGCGGUAAAAC
rnacentral:rRNA from 1 species